rnacentral:rRNA from 1 species
UUUUAUGGAGAGUUUGAUCCUGGCUCAGAGUGAACGCUGGCGGCGUGCCUAAUACAUGCAAGUCGAACGAUGAAGCUUCUAGCUUGCUAGAGUGCUGAUUAGUGGCGCACGGGUGAGUAACGCAUAGGUCAUGUGCCUCUUAGUUUGGGAUAGCCAUUGGAAACGAUGAUUAAUACCAGAUACUCCCUACGGGGGAAAGAUUUAUCGCUAAGAGAUCAGCCUAUGUCCUAUCAGCUUGUUGGUAAGGUAAUGGCUUACCAAGGCUAUGACGGGUAUCCGGCCUGAGAGGGUGAACGGACACACUGGAACUGAGACACGGUCCAGACUCCUACGGGAGGCAGCAGUAGGGAAUAUUGCUCAAUGGGGGAAACCCUGAAGCAGCAACGCCGCGUGGAGGAUGAAGGUUUUAGGAUUGUAAACUCCUUUUGUUAGAGAAGAUAAUGACGGUAUCUAACGAAUAAGCACCGGCUAACUCCGUGCCAGCAGCCGCGGUAAUACGGAGGGUGCAAGCGUUACUCGGAAUCACUGGGCGUAAAGAGCGCGUAGGCGGGAUAGUCAGUCAGGUGUGAAAUCCUAUGGCUUAACCAUAGAACUGCAUUUGAAACUACUAUUCUAGAGUGUGGGAGAGGUAGGUGGAAUUCUUGGUGUAGGGGUAAAAUCCGUAGAGAUCAAGAGGAAUACUCAUUGCGAAGGCGACCUGCUGGAACAUUACUGACGCUGAUUGCGCGAAAGCGUGGGGAGCAAACAGGAUUAGAUACCCUGGUAGUCCACGCCCUAAACGAUGGAUGCUAGUUGUUGGAGGGCUUAGUCUCUCCAGUAAUGUAGCUAACGCAUUAAGCAUCCCGCCUGGGGAGUACGGUCGCAAGAUUAAAACUCAAAGGAAUAGACGGGGACCCGCACAAGCGGUGGAGCAUGUGGUUUAAUUCGAAGAUACACGAAGAACCUUACCUAGGCUUGACAUUGAGAGAAUCCGCUAGAAAUAGUGGAGUGUCUGGCUUGCCAGACCUUGAAAACAGGUGCUGCACGGCUGUCGUCAGCUCGUGUCGUGAGAUGUUGGGUUAAGUCCCGCAACGAGCGCAACCCCCUUUCUUAGUUGCUAACAGGUCAUGCUGAGAACUCUAAGGAUACUGCCUCCGUAAGGAGGAGGAAGGUGGGGACGACGUCAAGUCAUCAUGGCCCUUACGCCUAGGGCUACACACGUGCUACAAUGGGGUGCACAAAGAGAAGCAAUACUGCGAAGUGGAGCCAAUCUUCAAAACGCCUCUCAGUUCGGAUUGUAGGCUGCAACUCGCCUGCAUGAAGCUGGAAUCGCUAGUAAUCGCAAAUCAGCCAUGUUGCGGUGAAUACGUUCCCGGGUCUUGUACUCACCGCCCGUCACACCAUGGGAGUUGUGUUUGCCUUAAGUCAGGAUGCUAAAUUGGCUACUGCCCACGGCACACACAGCGACUGGGGUGAAGUCGUAACAAGGUAACCGUAGGUGAACCUGCGGUUGGAUCACCUCCUUUCUAGA